CAGUAGCCGCGGGAAUACGUAGGGUGCAAGCGUUAAUCGGAAUUACUGGGCGUAAAGCGUGCGCAGGCGGUUAUAUAAGACAGAUGUGAAAUCCCCGGGCUCAACCUGGGAACUGCAUUUGUGACUGUAUAGCUAGAGUACGGCAGAGGGGGAUGGAAUUCCGCGUGUAGCAGUGAAAUGCGUAGAUAUGCGGAGGAACACCGAUGGCGAAGGAAAUCCCCUGGGCCUGUACUGACGCUCAUGCACGAAAGCGUGGGGAGCAAACAGGAUUAGAUACCCCAGUAGUCCCUGUCUCUUAUAC
rnacentral:rRNA from 1 species